GCACCCACGGAGCAGAGGGGCCUGGUCACAGGGAGAGGCUGAGAUGCCCAGAGAAAUGGAUCUGGCCACCUGAGCUGAGGCUUCUCUGAAGUGGUGACACGGAGACCUGGAGCAGGAAUACAGAGAUGUGCCAAACUUUGUACAGAAAUUUUGCAAAACUAGAUUCAGCUCUCAUUCCACAAAUACCAGGACCUCCCCUGCACCAGGCACUGUUCUAGGCAAGGACAGAGCAAUGAAGAGGGGAAGCUCCUCACCUGUGUUUCCUCGUGAGGCCUGAAGCGCCUGCUUUCCCUUCCACCUCCUGCUCUCCAGCCUCUUAAGUCCCCUCACUCUGUGGUCAAUCUAAUUGGAUAGAACCCUUUCAUCUCAAAACCAAAACAACAGCGACCCAUGCACACUCCUAGUAGACCAAUGGGACUGUAGCACUGAUUUCACCAUAUGCCCCUCCUGCAUCCCAGGGACGUCAACUCUGCACUUCAGUCCAGCUUUCAGGAAACUCCAAAUCUCUCCCCCAUUCCCACCUCUUCCUGUCUAUGGUCCCACUGUGAGCCGAUAGAGUUCUCACCACGGCUGACACCAGGCAGCCAUGUGGUUGGGGCCAGUCCCAUUCCCUUCUGGGCCUGAUUCAGUUCAUCUGGCUAAUGAGGAGGGCACAUGAGCCUUCUGUGCCUGUUGGGCCGGCUGCCUCAGUGACCACUGCCAAUUGUGUGUUCCCCUUAUUCAGCACCUUCAUACCUUCUUCCGGUUUUGCCCAUCUGAGCUGAAUCAAUUCCUCCAUCUUCACAGGGAGGUAGCCUUCUCUCAGUCCCCAAACCCUUGAUAAGGGAACGCACCACCACCUCGCAGGCCUGCCUGACUUGAGUGCAUCACAGUUCUCCACCUAAUUAUUUGUUGUCCCGGAUUGUUUCAUGUAUGUAUGUCUGAUCUCUCCAUAAGACUGUAAACUUACUGAGGGCAGAGAUGACGCUUACCUUUCCAUAUCCUACAUGCUUUAGCCUGGUGCCUACUCACUGGGCAAUCCAUCAGUGAUGAGUUUACCUGGAUUUACUAAUUCGUGAUAUUUACAAAGAAUACAUUUGGGAAAAUGUGUAUUUGUUUACAGAUGUUAAAAGGAAAACGUAAAAUACAAGAUUGUAUGUACAGCUUGAUAAUCACAGUGUCAAUUACGUGUUCAUAUGGGUAAAACUGGAAGGCAAUUGGUAAAAAUAAAGAGUAGUGUGAGGGCUGUUAGAUUAUGAGUGAUUUGUUUAAAUAAUCUGUGAAUAUUGUUACUGCACUGUUUAUGCAUUUGAAAAGCCUUUUUUUUUUAUCCUAACCAGUAGACCACCAGGGAUAAAAUGAUUUUUAAAAAUACAUAGAGGGCUUUAA
rnacentral:lncRNA from 10 species